AUUAUUUUUUUAUUUUUUUUUAAUCCAAAAAAAUUUAUUUUUAUUAUUUUUUUGUCCAAAAUAAUUUUUUCAUAUCAAAAAUAUUUUUUUUUAAUUAUUUAAUCUAAACUCCACUCACAUCUUCAAUGAGCUUCUUUUGUUAUAAAUACACCACGGCAACUGCUGUGAGUAAUCCUAAUGGUAAAUUUUUCUCAUUUAUGAGAAAAAGAGCUUCGGAGAGAUGCGAAGAAGAACUCUCCAAAACCACUUAAAUUAACACUGGGUUACUCGAAACUUGCCUAAAUUAGCCAAAAAAAAACAUCUGCCUUCGUAAAGUAUAAUGCAAAAAUUGUUUUUUUUUAGCUUUCUCAAUACGCAGGUGAUGGCACUUCGCUACAUUCAAACAUAAAAAUACGAGUGGUUUCCUUUACACCGUUGUAUACACAAAGUUCCCCGAAGAGCGCCACACAUUCCCACAUCCUCUACAAUAUCGAAGUAUUUGUUUUGAUAUACCACUGGCUUAUAUGCGUUAGGGUCCAAACGAGCGGAAUAACUGAAAAAAGAAUGCACACGCUGAGACCUCCAUAUGUUUUUGAUAAAAGCAAAGCGAAAGCUCACUUGGCUAUCUUCGUGCAUGCUUUGAAGACUUUGAUUAUAAAUUGGGGGGUGUGAGGAUGUGAAGCGCUCUCCAACUGAGUGGAUGGCAUGUUUAGAAGAUGGCGGGAGAAACAGUUGAGCGCAAAUGAGCGCUACCGACAAACGGUGAGAGCGUCCCGCUUAUGUUGUUAUCUACCUGCUGAUUUCGGACAGUUGGAAACACCGAAGCUUUUUGCCAAAAAUCCAACAAUAAAGCGAGUGUGCGAGUUCGCUGUAGAUAUGCGAGUACAAGUAGAACGAAGAGCAAGCUUUUUUAUGAUAUCUUCAUAUGUAUGUCUGUCGUCGUUGCUUAUUGCGAAAGCGCUCGCUUUUCUUUUUGAAUGUCGAAAAUCGAAAAGAAGAAUGUAUUCACUAAUUUGAGUAAGUUGGAGCGCUGCCGACUGGCAGUCAGUACAGGCAAUCGCACUUGGAAUUGUUAUGUUUGUUGUUGUUGUGGCGUACUGGCUACGCUGCCGUGUACAUCUGCCACGGCGACUGGAAGUUUGUAAUCGCGCUCAGCACGGAACGGCGGCGCCACUGCUGCUGAUGGCCGUGCUCCUUGUCGGGUGCCUCGUUCGAAAUCAGUUUGAUUCGCUCUACCAUAGCUAAACGGUCGGGUUCAGGUGGUCAGUGGCCCGCUGGGAGUACCACAUAUAGAGUGCUGCUGCUUGGGCAAGAAUAAAUUUGAAAAUAUCUACACAAAAUAACAAUCCACGACAAAACGACAACCAACAAAUGCAGUAAUAUGUAUGUACAUAUAUACAUAUAUGUAAGUUCGAUGAAAUAAAAAGUGGGCGGUAGAAGUACAAAAGUGAAAAAUGCAGUGAAAUCAAAAUGAAACCAAAAUCGAAUUCAAUACAAGCGAUAAGUGCAUAAAUGAAAGUGUGAAAGAAGAAGUAGCAGAAGUAGAAGAGGCAGAAGCAGCAAAAUUAUUAUUAUCGAAUUCCACAUUUGUGUCAACAGUGCAAUGCCUUCCACGCAACUACGUUAACACUUCAAUAGUAUACUCGACAAAAAAAGCAUAAAUAAACAACAAUAACAACAAUAACACCAAAAUAUGCCACACAGCGGUUGCAACCGCAAAUAAUAAAGUAAAGCAACAAUAAUAAUAACAACAACAACAAAUGCAAUAGUACUCAUCAAGUGCGCCAAUCAAUGCAAUAAGCAUACACAUCGACAUAUAACAACAACAAGAAGUAUACAAAACAUAUAAUGCACCAGUGAUUGAGUUGAGUUGGACAGUAGCUCCGAGACCUAGCUAACCCGUAAAGGUCGCGUUUUCUUCUGGCGUACGUGCAACGCAUACUUCCGCAGAAAUUGUGCGGUUUUGUGGCAGAGUCUCUCAUUUCUCCGCGAUUCGCUUUCAUUUCAUACAACUAUAAACCUACGAACUAACAGCUGCCAGCGGAUAACACGAAAUCUAAGCCACGUACAUAUAUUAUCCACGAACAUUGGAUUGCAGGUGCGCUAACGCC